rnacentral:rRNA from 1 species
UACGAACCGAGCGAACGUUGUUCGGAAUCACUGGGCUUAAAGGGCGCGUAGGCGGGCUGUCAAGUUUGGGGUGAAAUCCCGCGGCUCAACCGUGGAACUGCCUCAAAUACUGACGGUCUCGAGGGAGGUAGGGGCGAGCGGAACUGAUGGUGGAGCGGUGAAAUGCGUUGAUAUCAUCAGGAACUCCGGUGGCGAAGGCGGCUCGCUGGACCUUUUCUGACGCUGAGGCGCGAAAGCUAGGGGAGCAAACGGG